AGUAGAAUUACUGGCUUAUUCGAUAAGUAAGCGUUUAACUUUAUAAGAAACUGUCAAGCUAUUUUCCAAAGUGAUAUAUUUGCAUUUUUAUCAGCAAU
rnacentral:pre_miRNA from 1 species